AAAGCAGUAUUGGAUUAUGUCAACUUUGGAAGUUGGAGGCUAGAUAACUCUACUUUU
rnacentral:tRNA from 1 species